rnacentral:misc_RNA from 1 species
GGAAGUAGAAGUCGUAACAAGGUUUCCGUAGGUGAACCUGCGGAAGGAUCAUUAUCGAAAUACUUAUUUAGCGUUCCGUGCUAUCCCAUUGUUUUAUUUACCCUGUUGCUUCCACUGGAUGAGUUUCCAUACCUUGUGUUUGAGAAACUUUGGCUUGUGUAAGAUUCAUUCACGGCCAGCCAGUGAGAAGACCAUUUACAAAACCCUGUUAAGAACCAAUUGUCUGAAUAUUUUACUCCAAUGAAAUAAAACUUUCAACAACGGAUCUCUAGGCUCUU